ACUACGGAAUAACACAGAGAAAUUUGUGCUAAUACCGUAUACGCCCUUUAUGGGGAAAGAUUUAUCGGUUUCAGAUGAGCCCGCGUUGGAUUAGCUAGUUGGUAGGGUAAAGGCCUACCAAGGCGACGAUCCAUAGCUGGUCUGAGAGGAUGAUCAGCCACACUGGGACUGAGACACGGCCCAGACUCCUACGGGAGGCAGCAGUGGGGAAUAUUGGACAAUGGGGGCAACCCUGAUCCAGCCAUGCCGCGUGAGUGAUGACGGCCUUAGGGUUGUAAAGCUCUUUCACCGGUGAAGAUAAUGACGGUAACCGGAGAAGAAGCCCCGGCUAACUUCGUGCCAGCAGCCGCGGUAAUACGAAGGGGGCUAGCGUUGUUCGGAUUUACUGGGCGUAAAGCGCACGUAGGCGGAUAUUUAAGUCAGAGGUGAAAUCCCGGGGCUCAACCCUGGAACUGCCUUUGAUACUGGGUAUCUAGAGUACAGAAGAGGCAAGUGGAAUUCCGAGUGUAGAGGUGAAAUUCGUAGAUAUUCGGAGGA
rnacentral:rRNA from 1 species